rnacentral:rRNA from 1 species
CUGGCGGCGUGCUUAACACAUGCAAGUCGAACGGUGAAGCCCAGCUUGCUGGGUGGAUCAGUGGCGAACGGGUGAGUAACACGUGAGUAACCUGCCCCUGACUCUGGGAUAAGCCUUGGAAACGAGGUCUAAUACCGGAUACGAGACGCUCGGGCAUCCGAAGUGUCUGGAAAGAUUUAUCGGUCAGGGAUGGACUCGCGGCCUAUCAGCUUGUUGGUGGGGUAGUGGCCCACCAAGGCGACGACGGGUAGCCGGCCUGAGAGGGCGACCGGCCACACUGGGACUGAGACACGGCCCAGACUCCUACGGGAGGCAGCAGUGGGGAAUAUUGCACAAUGGGCGCAAGCCUGAUGCAGCGACGCCGCGUGAGGGAUGAAGGCCUUCGGGUUGUAAACCUCUUUCAGCAGGGAAGAAGCGCAAGUGACGGUACCUGCAGAAGAAGCGCCGGCUAACUACGUGCCAGCAGCCGCGGUAAUACGUAGGGCGCAAGCGUUGUCCGGAAUUAUUGGGCGUAAAGAGCUCGUAGGCGGUUUGUCGCGUCUGCUGUGAAAACUCGAGGCUCAACCUCGGGCUUGCAGUGGGUACGGGCAGACUAGAGUGCGGUAGGGGAGACUGGAAUUCCUGGUGUAGCGGUGGAAUGCGCAGAUAUCAGGAGGAACACCGAUGGCGAAGGCAGGUCUCUGGGCCGCAACUGACGCUGAGGAGCGAAAGCAUGGGGAGCGAACAGGAUUAGAUACCCUGGUAGUCCAUGCCGUAAACGUUGGGCACUAGGUGUGGGGCUCAUUCCACGAGUUCCGUGCCGCAGCAAACGCAUUAAGUGCCCCGCCUGGGGAGUACGGCCGCAAGGCUAAAACUCAAAGAAAUUGACGGGGGCCCGCACAAGCGGCGGAGCAUGCGGAUUAAUUCGAUGCAACGCGAAGAACCUUACCAAGGCUUGACAUACACCGGAAACUUCCA